UUAAGCGACUAAGCGUACACGGUGGAUGCCCUGGCAGUCAGAGGCGAUGAAGGACGUGCUAAUCUGCGAUAAGCGUCGGUAAGGUGAUAUGAACCGUUAUAACCGGCGAUUUCCGAAUGGGGAAACCCAGUGUGAUUCGUCACACUAUCAUUAACUGAAUCCAUAGGUUAAUGAGGCGAACCGGGGGAACUGAAACAUCUAAGUACCCCGAGGAAAAGAAAUCAACCGAGAUUCCCCCAGUAGCGGCGAGCGAACGGGGAGCAGCCCAGAGCCUGAAUCAGUGUGUGUGUUAGUGGAAGCGUCUGGAAAGGCGCGCGAUACAGGGUGACAGCCCCGUACACAAAAAUGCACAUGCUGUGAGCUCGAUGAGUAGGGCGGGACACGUGGUAUCCUGUCUGAAUAUGGGGGGACCAUCCUCCAAGGCUAAAUACUCCUGACUGACCGAUAGUGAACCAGUACCGUGAGGGAAAGGCGAAAAGAACCCCGGCGAGGGGAGUGAAAAAGAACCUGAAACCGUGUACGUACAAGCAGUGGGAGCACGCUUAGGCGUGUGACUGCGUACCUUUUGUAUAAUGGGUCAGCGACUUAUAUUCUGUAGCAAGGUUAACCGAAUAGGGGAGCCGAAGGGAAACCGAGUCUUAACUGGGCGUUAAGUUGCAGGGUAUAGACCCGAAACCCGGUGAUCUAGCCAUGGGCAGGUUGAAGGUUGGGUAACACUAACUGGAGGACCGAACCGACUAAUGUUGAAAAAUUAGCGGAUGACUUGUGGCUGGGGGUGAAAGGCCAAUCAAACCGGGAGAUAGCUGGUUCUCCCCGAAAGCUAUUUAGGUAGCGCCUCGUGAAUUCAUCUCCGGGGGUAGAGCACUGUUUCGGCAAGGGGGUCAUCCCGACUUACCAACCCGAUGCAAACUGCGAAUACCGGAGAAUGUUAUCACGGGAGACACACGGCGGGUGCUAACGUCCGUCGUGAAGAGGGAAACAACCCAGACCGCCAGCUAAGGUCCCAAAGUCAUGGUUAAGUGGGAAACGAUGUGGGAAGGCCCAGACAGCCAGGAUGUUGGCUUAGAAGCAGCCAUCAUUUAAAGAAAGCGUAAUAGCUCACUGGUCGAGUCGGCCUGCGCGGAAGAUGUAACGGGGCUAAACCAUGCACCGAAGCUGCGGCAGCGACGCUGAUGCGUUGUUGGGUAGGGGAGCGUUCUGUAAGCCUGCGAAGGUGUGCUGUGAGGCAUGCUGGAGGUAUCAGAAGUGCGAAUGCUGACAUAAGUAACGAUAAAGCGGGUGAAAAGCCCGCUCGCCGGAAGACCAAGGGUUCCUGUCCAACGUUAAUCGGGGCAGGGUGAGUCGACCCCUAAGGCGAGGCCGAAAGGCGUAGUCGAUGGGAAACAGGUUAAUAUUCCUGUACUUGGUGUUACUGCGAAGGGGGGACGGAGAAGGCUAUGUUGGCCGGGCGACGGUUGUCCCGGUUUAAGCGUGUAGGCUGGUUUUCCAGGCAAAUCCGGAAAAUCAAGGCUGAGGCGUGAUGACGAGGCACUACGGUGCUGAAGCAACAAAUGCCCUGCUUCCAGGAAAAGCCUCUAAGCAUCAGGUAACAUCAAAUCGUACCCCAAACCGACACAGGUGGUCAGGUAGAGAAUACCAAGGCGCUUGAGAGAACUCGGGUGAAGGAACUAGGCAAAAUGGUGCCGUAACUUCGGGAGAAGGCACGCUGAUAUGUAGGUGAAGUCCCUCGCGGAUGGAGCUGAAAUCAGUCGAAGAUACCAGCUGGCUGCAACUGUUUAUUAAAAACACAGCACUGUGCAAACACGAAAGUGGACGUAUACGGUGUGACGCCUGCCCGGUGCCGGAAGGUUAAUUGAUGGGGUUAGCGCAAGCGAAGCUCUUGAUCGAAGCCCCGGUAAACGGCGGCCGUAACUAUAACGGUCCUAAGGUAGCGAAAUUCCUUGUCGGGU
rnacentral:rRNA from 1 species